ACUGGAGGACUAAAGAGGCUGAGUCUGGAGAGUGAGACUCAGGUGACAGUGGCCUCCUGACAGCAAAGGGAUGGAGAGAGCAGUCCUGCUCCCAGCAGAGCCCAGGGCUGACUGUGCCAUCUCACACUC